AGCUAUAAUGCAGUCGACGAACUCUGGUAUUGAUUGGUGCUUGCAUCAUGAUUUACAUUUGAGUGAGUGGCGAACUGGUGAGUAACACGUGGGAAACCUGCCCAGAAGCGGGGGAUAACACCUGGAAACAGAUGCUAAUACCGCAUAACAACUUGGACCGCAUGGUCCGAGUUUGAAAGAUGGCUUCGGCUAUCACUUUUGGAUGGUCCCGCGGCGUAUUAGCUAGAUGGUGGGGUAACGGCUCACCAUGGCAAUGAUACGUAGCCGACCUGAGAGGGUAAUCGGCCACAUUGGGACUGAGACACGGCCCAAACUCCUACGGGAGGCAGCAGUAGGGAAUCUUCCACAAUGGACGAAAGUCUGAUGGAGCAACGCCGCGUGAGUGAAGAAGGGUUUCGGCUCGUAAAACUCUGUUGUUAAAGAAGAACAUAUCUGAGAGUAACUGUUCAGGUAUUGACGGUAUUUAACCAGAAAGCCACGGCUAACUACGUGCCAGCAGCCGCGGUAAUACGUAGGUGGCAAGCGUUGUCCGGAUUUAUUGGGCGUAAAGCGAGCGCAGGCGGUUUUUUAAGUCUGAUGUGAAAGCCUUCGGCUCAACCGAAGAAGUGCAUCGGAAACUGGGAAACUUGAGUGCAGAAGAGGACAGUGGAACUCCAUGUGUAGCGGUGAAAUGCGUAGAUAUAUGGAAGAACACCAGUGGCGAAGGCGGCUGUCUGGUCUGUAACUGACGCUGAGGCUCGAAAGUAUGGGUAGCAAACAGGAUUAGAUACCCUGGUAGUCCAUACCGUAAACGAUGAAUGCUAAGUGUUGGAGGGUUUCCGCCCUUCAGUGCUGCAGCUAA
rnacentral:rRNA from 1 species